GAGCGGCAUGUCGCUUAGCAACCCAUGCGGUAUCCAUAGUAACGCGGGCAGUAUAGGCCAGAGUCGCCUGCGAUCGCUUAUACCGUGCAUCGAGGUGUAGUACAUAACGAUGAGCGCAGAACUGAGCGAGGAGCAGCUGCAGGAGCUGUAUGCCUGGAUAGACCAGGUGCCUCUCAGCCGAGCCAAGAGAAACAUUACACGGGACUUCAGUGAUGGAGUGUUGGUUGCAGAGGUCAUUAAACAUUUCAUCCCCAAGAUUGUGGAAAUGCACAACUACAUCCCAGCAAGCUCAACCCAACAGAAACUCUGCAACUGGGGAACUUUAAACCGGAAAGUAUUUUCCAAGCUGAACUCCCAUGUCCAAGAGGACCUUGUCCGAAAGAUUAUUUCCAAUUCACCCGGAGUGAUUGAGUCUGUUCUGUACACUCUGCGGCAGAAGAUCAAUGAGAAACUGCAAAACAGGUGCCAGAGAGAAAGGGACACACAGCAAGUCAAGGAAUCUGAAUACUACAGCACAGAUACAGCUCAAACUACAUAUGGGUCUAUGACUCAUACAUCACCCCAGUAUGGAAAAACAUUUCCUUACACAGGUUCCACAGACCAGGCACAGAAUCACACAAAAAGACCGGACGGUCGUUCACACCCAUAUGCACAUCUGGAACCUGGUGUACGCUUGUUGUUGGAAGAAAAAGAACAAGAAUUGCUAGCACUACAGGAAACUGUUCAAAUACUACAAAUGAAAGUCCAGCGCCUGGAGCACUUGGUACAGCUGAAGGACUUGAGGAUAGAAGAUUUAACAAGGACAACAACAACGGCACAACUCCCCACCCCCUUCCCCUUCCCACUCACCCUCCCCUUCUCACUCCCCCUCCCCUUCUCAUUCCCCCUCCCCUUCUCACUCCCCCUCCCCUUCACAGUCCCCCUCCCCUUCUCACUCCCCCUCCCCUUCACAGUCCCCCUCCCCUUCUCACUCCCCCUCCCCUUCACAGUCCCCCUCAGCUUCCCAGUCCCCAUCAUCUUCCCAGUCCACCUCAUCUUCCAAGGCCCCCUCAUCUUCCCUGGCCCACUCCACUUUCCAUUCCCCUUCUCACCACACCUCUCCAUCUCUUUCUGGGACCCCUUCUCCUCCUUCCCAUACCCCUUCUCCUUCAUCUUCGUCAUCCCCAUCUGAACCCCCCUCACCCUCUAUUGCCUUACAUUUCUCUCCACCCCCCUCGCCCUCGCAAUCAGACCCCCCCUCUGAAAUUGUUGCUCCAAUCCAGCCUCCUUCCCCAAUCCCUCCUCCUUCCCCAAUCCAUCCUCCUUCCCCAAUCCCUCCUCCUUCCCCAAUCCCUCCUCCUUUCACCAUCCCUCAGCCGGCUUCACCGAUCAUGCCAAGCUCACCACCCAGUGAAUGGGCACAGGAAGCCCCUGACGAACCAUCCGGGAGUCAGGAUGUUGCCGUGGAAAAUGUUGCCGUUGGAGAUCCAACAUCCUUGCAGGAUAUAGUUGGCAGUAUGAGGCGCCAUCUCCAGGCCUUGGUGGGGCUUUUGGACGCCAUGCAAAAAUUUUGUUAAUUUUAUUAUUAUAAUUUUAUAUAUUAUAAAAAAGGAUAAUAUCAGUAUUCCACUUUUAAAAAAAAAUAAACUAAUAAAUUUAAAAAC